GGCUGGGGCGCUCACCUGGGGCUCUGGGGACACAGGGCUGCUCCUCCUCCUCGCAGUGAGGCGGCUCUGAGGGAACAGAGCAACCUCUGGUGCCCAGGAGGGCUCCGGAGGGAUCCGAUGGCCCAACACGUGCAAAUGAGCUGGUUUUGUCAGAAUUAACAGCGGUGCUCUGGAGGAAAAGACAAGUUUUACAGGCAAUCCUAGUUGCCAUAAAUGAGUAGGGCGUCUAUUCCAAAAGAAAACCUUGGUAUUUAUGCAAUACAAAAGUGUUUAUGCUGAGACAGAAUGCCGAGGGUCAGCAACCUCAGUGUUCAAGGAUGGAAAAACCCUUUUAAAGCCCCCACUAGUGUCUUGGGUUAGUGUGGUAAAGAGAAAACCUCAAAAAUGCAACUCCCGGGCUUUGUAAGGUUGUUUGUUGUGGACUGUCUUCUGGCAUCAGAGCUUGAAUUUUCCUUAAACUGCUCCAAGAAUGUGGAAAAGCUCUUAUAAACUCAUGGGGAAGCCAAACAGCGCUGAGUGAACAGAGGGGCUGUGCAGAGCGCUCGCUGCGGGACUCGCUGGUCUGGAAGAUUCUCUUACACCUUCUUGUCCUUUCAGCUUUCGUGGGUGAAACAGACGAAACAAACAAGUACAUAGGAGCAGCCUGACUGUGGUUCAGCAAGAACAUCUGGCAUAUAACGAGCAACAAGAAGGGAGGCACAGAGACAAUGCAGGGAAAAGAUGAAGGGAAUGGGUGGACACCACUAACACUGCAAUGUUUCUGAACCAUGGAAGGGUUUGUGAUUGAAAUAAGUUGUAAGAUGAUGGGUAUUUGAGUGACAACAGGUUGAAAAACAAAUCUCAGUGUCAAGACUUCUGAGAAAGGAAUUGCUGGCAUCAAAUUGGGACACGGCUCGGUUGUGGACAAACAGUUCAGCUACGACGGGAAUGAGGAAGGGGCAAAAAUUUGUUAUGAAGGUGGAUAAUGGGGAACAUGGCUUUGAGUAGGGAUUUCUUGGUGGAUCACAGCUUCUGGGAUAGGAUGUACAUGGAAGGAAAAAAUAAACACCUUUCUCAUGGACAUAAACCAGAUCUUCAGAUUAAUUUCCUUUUUAUGCCGUAUUUUUGCAUCCUCAGAUUCAUUUCUAAAAUCAAUUAAUUCCAUUCGCUGUCCUUGUGGUGGAUGGCAGGCUCAUAGGUAGCGUCUUGAGAGGGAAAAAGACACUUACCUGAGACUCCUUCAUUGCCAAGCGCUGCGUAGAUGUUCUGUCAAUGCAACCACCUCUCCAAGGAGCUCCUCUGCUCUUCAGCCCCUUCCAGGGCCUACAUCAGAAGGUGAGGGGCAGUUGCGUUGACAGGCUCGGGUAUAAAUAACCCUGGAGGCACAGGAGCCGCAGAGGUAAUGAAGUGCCUUGAGGAAAUUCUCAACUAUCAAGGGAUGGAUCCACUCCCCCCUGCCACAGACCAGAAGUCACAUGGCUGAGGAAUGUGUAUCCAAAGAUAAUGCUACCUUCAGAGAACUCUACUUACAGGUUACACAGAGCUGGUUUCCAACAGAAGGAUGUAGUUUAAGAGCUGGAGAAACGUCAUCUAUAUCAUCCCUUAUCUCUUAACAUCCCAUCAUUUAUAUUGU